GAUGAACGCUGGCGGCGUGCCUAACACAUGCAAGUCGAGCGAUUCUYUUYGGAGAAGAGCGGCGGACGGGUGAGUAACGCGUGGGUAACCUACCCUGUACACACGGAUAACAUACCGAAAGGUAUGMUAAUACGGGAUGAUAUAUAGAAAUCGCAUGAUUUUUAUAUCAAAGAUUUAUCGGUACAGGAUGGACCCGCGUMUGAUUAGCUUGUUGGCGGGGUAMCGGCCCACCAAGGCGACGAUCAGUAGCCGACCUGAGAGGGUGAUCGGCCACAUUGGAACUGAGACACGGUCCAAACUCCUACGGGAGGCAGCAGUGGGGAAUAUUGCACAAUGGGCGCAAGCCUGAUGCAGCAACGCCGCGUGAGCGAUGAAGGCCUUCGGGUMGUAAAKCUYUGUCCUCAAGGAAGAUAAUGACGGUACUGAGAUUAAGCCCC
rnacentral:rRNA from 1 species